GACGUAGGGCGCGAGCGUUGUCCGGAUUUAUUGGGCGUAAAGAGCUCGUAGGCGGCUUGUUGCGUCGACCGUGAAAACCCGUGGCUUAACUGCGGGCUUGCGGUCGAUACGGGCGGGCUGGAGUUCGGUAGGGGAGACUGGAAUUCCUGGUGUAGCGGUGAAAUGCGCAGAUAUCAGGAAGAACACCUAUGGCGAAGGCAGCUCUCUGGGGCGGUACUGACGCUGAGACGCGAAAGCGUGGGGAGCGAACAGG
rnacentral:rRNA from 1 species